rnacentral:rRNA from 1 species
ACGAUGGAAGCUUGCUUUCAGGCGUCGAGUGGCGGACGGGUGAGUAACGCGUGGGCACCUGCCCAGUAGUGGGGGACAACAGCCGGAAACGGCUGCUAAUACCGCAUAUGGUCUACGGACUAAAGAUGGCCUCUUCUUGAAAGCUAUCGCUAUUAGAUGGGCCCGCGUCAGAUUAGCUAGUUGGUGAGGUAAAGGCUCACCAAGGCGACGAUCUGUAGCUGUUCUGAGAGGAUGAUCAGCCACACCGGGACUGAGACACGGCCCGGACUCCUACGGGAGGCAGCAGUGGGGAAUAUUGGACAAUGGGCGCAAGCCUGAUCCAGCAAUGCCGCGUGUGUGAAGAAGGCCUGAGGGUUGUAAAGCACUUUCAGUGGUGAAGAAAAGCACGUGGUUAAUAACUGCGUGUGUUGACAUUAGCCACAGAAGAAGCACCGGCUAACUCCGUGCCAGCAGCCGCGGUAAUACGGAGGGUGCAAGCGUUAAUCGGAAUUACUGGGCGUAAAGAGUACGUAGGCGGUUUGGUAAGUCAACUGUGAAAGCCCCGGGCUUAACCUGGGAACUGCAGCUGAUACUGCCAGACUAGAGUUUGUGAGAGGGUAGUGGAAUUCCUAGUGUAGCGGUGAAAUGCGUAGAUAUUAGGAGGAACAUCAGUGGCGAGGGCGACUACCUGGCACAAAACUGACGCUGAGGUACGAAAGCGUGGGGAGCAAACAGGGAUUAGAUACCCUGGUAGUCCACGCCGUAAACGAUGUCAACUAGUCGUCGGUUCCGUUUCGGGGAUCGGUGACGCAGCUAACGCA